GCAGUAGGGAAUUGUUCGCAAUGGGCGAAAGCCUGACGACGCAACGCCGCGUGGAGGAUGAAGACCUUCGGGUUGUAAACUCCUGUCGAGCGGGAAGAAUUGUCCGCGGGUCAAUACCCCGUGGGCUUGACGGUACCGCUAAAGGAAGCCCCGGCUAACUCCGUGCCAGCAGCCGCGGUGAUACGGGGGGGGCAAGCGUUGUUCGGAUUUACUGGGCGUAAAGGGCUCGUAGGCGGCGAUCCAAGUCGGUUGUGAAAUCCCCGGGCUCAACUCGGGAACUGCAGCCGAAACUGGAUGGCUAGAAGCCGGGAGAGGGAUGCGGAAUUCCAGGUGUAGCGGUGAAAUGCGUAGAUAUCUGGAGGAACACCCGUGGCGAAGGCGGCAUCCUGGACCGGU
rnacentral:rRNA from 1 species